rnacentral:rRNA from 1 species
UACGUAGGGUGCGAGCGUUAAUCGGAAUUACUGGGCGUAAAGCGCACGUAGGCGGAUUUGUAAGUCAGGGGUGAAAUCCCGGGGCUCAACCUCGGAACUGCCUUUGAUACUGCAAAUCUCGAGUCCGGAAGAGGUGAGUGGAAUUCCUAGUGUAGAGGUGAAAUUCGUAGAUAUUAGCUAGAACACCAGUGGCGAAGGCGACUUACUGGACACAUAUUGACGCUGAGGUGCGAAAGCGUGGGGAGCAAACAGG